UGGGGAAUCUUGCGCAAUGGGCGAAAGCCUGACGCAGCGACGCCGCGUACGGGAAGAAGGCCUUCGGGUUGUAAACCGUUUUCAGGAGGGACGAAGCCACUCGGGUGAACAGCCCAGAGGGUGACGGUACCUCCAGAAGAAGCCCCGGCUAACUACGUGCCAGCAGCCGCGGUAAUACGUAGGGGGCAAGCGUUGUCCGGAUUUAUUGGGCGUAAAGCGCGUGUAGGCGGCCAUGCAGGUCCGACGUGAAAUCCCGAGGCUCAACCUCGGUCGGUCGUUGGAAACCGCAUGGCUAGAGUCCGGAAGAGGAGAGUGGAAUUCCUGGGUGUAGCGGUGAAAUGCGCAGAUAUCAGGAAGAACACCGAUGGCGAAGGCAGCUCUCUGGGACGGUACUGACGCUGAGACGCGAAAGCGUGGGGGAGCGAACAGGGAUUAGAUACCCUGGUAGUCCACGCCGUAAACGAUGGGUGCUAGGUGUGGGCGGUGUCGACUCCGUCCGUGCCGAAGCUAACG
rnacentral:rRNA from 1 species